ACCGCGAUGGGUAGGGGCCCUGAGAGGGGGAUCCCCCACACUGGUACUGAGACACGGACCAGACUCCUACGGGAGGCAGCAGUGAGGAAUAUUGGACAAUGGGCGGGAGCCUGAUCCAGCCAUGCCGCGUGCAGGAAGAAUGCCCUAUGGGUAGUAAACUUGCUUUUAUACGGGAAGAAAAAGGGCUACGUGUAGCCCACUGACGGUACCGUAAGAAUAAGGACCGGCUAACUCCGUGCCAGCAGCCGCGGUAAUACGGAGGGUCCGAGCGUUAUCCGGAAUUAUUGGGUUUAAAGGGUCCGUAGGCGGGCUGAAAAGUCAGUGGUGAAAGUUUGCAGCUCAACUGUAAAAUCGCCUUUGAUACUGUUAGUCUUGAGUUAUAGUGAAGUUGCCGGAAUAUGUAGUGUAGCGGUGAAAUGCAUAGAUAUUACAUAGAACACCGAUUGCGAAGGCAGGUGACUAACUAUAUACUGACGCUGAUGGACGAAAGCGUGGGGAGCGAACAGGAUUAGAUACCCUGGUAGUCCACGCCGUAAACGAUGGAUACUAGCUGUCCGGGACCUUGAGUCCUGGGCGGCCAAGCGAAAGUGAUAAGUAUCCCACCUGGGGAGUACGUUCGCAAGAAUGAAACUCAAAGGAAUUGACGGGGGCCCGCACAAGCGGUGGAGCAUGUGGUUUAAUUCGAUGAUACGCGAGGAACCUUACCAGGGCUUAAAUGCAUAUUGACAGGGGUAGAGAUACCUUUUCCUUCGGGCAAUUUGCAAGGUGCUGCAUGGUUGUCGUCAGCUCGUGCCGUGAGGUGUCAGGUUAAGUCCUAUAACGAGCGCAACCCCUACCGUUAGUUGCCAGCGAGUCAUGUCGGGGACUCUAACGGGACUGCCGGUGCAAACCGUGAGGAAGGUGGGGACGACGUCAAAUCAUCACGGCCCUUACGUCCUGGGCCACACACGUGCUACAAUGGCCGGUACAGCGGGAAGCCAUGCGGUAACGCAGAGCGGAUCCACAAAACCGGUCACAGUUCGGAUCGGGGUCUGCAACUCGACCCCGUGAAGCUGGAAUCGCUAGUAAUCGGAUAUCAGCCAUGAUCCGGUGAAUACGUUCCCGGGCCUUGUACACACCGCCCGUCAAGCCAUGGAAGCCGGGAGUGCCUGAAGUCCGUCACCGU
rnacentral:rRNA from 1 species